AGAAUCAACGCUGGCGGCGUGCCUAACACAUGCAAGUCGCACGAGAAAGGGUAGCAAUACCUGAGUACAGUGGCGCACGGGUGAGUAACACGUGAAUAAUCUACCUCCGAGUGGGAAUAACUGAGAGAAAUCUUAGCUAAUACCGCAUAAUACCCACGGGUCAAAGCAGCAAUGCGCUUGGAGAGGAGUUCGCGGCAGAUUAGUUAGUUGGCGGGGUAAUGGCCCACCAAGACGAUGAUCUGUA
rnacentral:rRNA from 1 species